AAGAUGGGUAUAAGAGACAGGUGAGUCAUCGAAUCUUUGAACGCACAUUGCGCCCCUUGGUAUUCCGAGGGGCAUGCCUGUUCGAGCGUCAUUAUAACCAAUCACGCCCUGUGCGUGGUCUUGGGGCUCGCGGUUUCCGCGUCCCUUAAAACCAGUGGCGGUGCCGUUAGGCUCUAAGCGUAGUAAUUCUUCUCGCUAUAGGGUCCUAGUGGUCUACUUGCCAUAACCCCAAUUUUUCAAAGGUUGACCUCGGAUCAGGUAGGGAUACCCGCUGAACUUAAGCAUAUCAAUAAGCGGAGG
rnacentral:misc_RNA from 1 species